AUGGGUGGAGGAAUGGAAGCAAACAAGAACAAAUACAUAGAAGAAUGGGGAGCUGUUAGAGAGAAUCUGGAACACAAUUUCCGUUGGACUCGCCGCAAUCUUCUCCUCGUUGGUAUCUUCGGUCUCGCUGUUCCCGUACUCGUCUACAAAGGCAUCGUCAAGGAAUUCCAUAUGCAAGAUGAAGAUAACGGCAGACCAUACAGGAAGUUCAAGCCUUAA